UACGUAGGGUGCAAGCGUUAAUCGGAAUUACUGGGCGUAAAGCGUGCGCAGGCGGUUGUGCAAGACAGAUGUGAAAUCCCCGGGCUCAACCUGGGAAUUGCAUUUGUGACUGCACGGCUAGAGUGUGCCAGAGGGGGGUAGAAUUCCACGUGUAGCAGUGAAAUGCGUAGAUAUGUGGAGGAAUACCGAUGGCGAAGGCAGCCCCCUGGGAUAACACUGACGCUCAUGCACGAAAGCGUGGGGAGCAAACAGG
rnacentral:rRNA from 1 species